CAGCCAAGUCGUGAGGCGGAGCUAAUCCCUUAAAGCCAUUCUCAGUUCGGAUUGUAGGCUGAAACUCGCCUACAUGAAGCUGGAGUUACUAGUAAUCGCAGAUCAGAAUGCUGCGGUGAAUGCGUUCCCGGGUCUUGUACACACCGCCCGUCACACCACGGAAGUUGGGGGCGCCCGAAGCCACUUAGCUAACCCUUUUGGGAAGCGAGUGUCGAAGGUGAAAUCAAUAACUGGGGCGAAGUCGUAACAAGGUACC
rnacentral:rRNA from 1 species